rnacentral:rRNA from 1 species
UACGGAGGGUGCAAGCGUUAAUCGGAAUUACUGGGCGUAAAGCGCGCGUAGGCGGUUUGUUAAGUCGGAUGUGAAAGCCCCGGGCUCAACCUGGGAAUUGCAUUCGAUACUGAUCGACUAGAGUACGAGAGAGGGAGGUAGAAUUCCACGUGUAGCGGUGAAAUGCGUAGAUAUGUGGAGGAAUACCGGUGGCGAAGGCGGCCUCCUGGCUCGAUACUGACGCUGAGGUGCGAAAGCGUGGGGAGCAAACAGG